rnacentral:misc_RNA from 1 species
AAUUCUCAACCUUCCAACUUUUAUUAGCUUGGUUAGGCUUGGAUGUGGGGGUUGCGGGCUUCAUCACGAAGUCGGCUCUCCUUAAAUGCAUUAGCGGAACUUUUGUGGACCGUCUAUUGGUGUGAUAAUUAUCUACGCCGUGGAUGUGAAGCAGCUUUAUGAAGUUCAGCUUCUAACCGUCCAUUGACUUGGACAAUUUUGACA